ensembl:lncRNA
GAGACCGUCAAGAUAAAGGUUUUGGGUCCUCUGACGCCUAUUGGGUGCAAAAUGUUACCGAGGCAUGACCAGAACUUGAGCUACGCAUUAAUGCUGGUGCAGGAACAGCUGAGACUUGGGCAUAUUGAACCCUCUACCUCUGCGUGGAAUUCUCCAAUUUUUGUUAUUAAAAAGAAGUCUGGAAAAUGGAGAUUGUUACAAGAUCUUCGCAAGGAUGCCGAAGCGCCGCGCUGGAUUCCGGAAAGGCUGGUACGCGCGGCGGAGGAACUCCCUGACAUAUCAAAUGCAUCGCAUGACACUGAGCGAGCCCACGAGUGAGCUGCCUACCCAGAGGCAGAUUGAGGUGUUGAUGCGAUAUGCUUGGAAUGAGGCUCAUGUACAACCUCCAGUGAUGCCUACAAAUAUACUGAUCAUGUUAUUAUUAUUGUUACAGUGGAUAUAAAACGGGGCGGCUGCGGCUUUUUGGGCAUACAUUCCCGAUCCGCCUAUGAUUCAAUCCUUAGGAUGGGAUAAAGAAAUAGUACCUGUAUAUGUCAAUGAUACAAGUCUUUUAGGAGGAAAAUCAGAUAUUCAUAUUUCUCCUCAGCAAGCCAAUAUCUCCUUUUAUGGUCUUACUACGCAAUAUCCUAUAUGCUUUUCUUAUCAAUCACAGCAUCCUCACUGUAUACAGGUGUCAGCUGAUAUAUCCUACCCUCGAGUGACUAUUUCUGGCAUUGAUGAAAAAACCGGAAAAAGAUCGUACCGUGACGGAACCGGACCUCUCGACAUUCCGUUUUGCGACAAACAUUUAAGCAUCGGCAUAGGAAUAGACACUCCUUGGACUUUAUGUCGAGCACGGGUCGCAUCGGUGUACAACAUCAACAAUGCCAAUGCCACCCUUUUAUGGGACUGGGCACCUGGGGGAACGCCUGAUUUCCCCGAAUAUCGAGGACAGCAUCCACCCAUUCUCUCUGUAAACACUGCUCAUAUAUAUCAAAC